CCUGGCUGCCGGAGUUUUCAGUCAAGUAAUUGAAGACAAAUGAAGAGAGCUCCUCAUCUAACAGUGAAGCGCAGUCCGCCAUCUUCUAGAGAAUGAGCUGUUGUUGGAGGUGGACCAGAACACCAGCUUACAAAGUCUGCUUAAUGUACAUCCUCUGACCUUAAACCCCUCGCCGUUCUCCGUUCCAGUUGGCCAGAGAGUUUGAGGGCUUGGCCUGGUGGAAAAGUAAGAUGAGUUGUGAGGAGAGAAGAGAGUUUGGGGAAAAGAAUGAUGCUAAUGAUACAAAGAAAACAGGUAAGUAUUAAUCUUGUAAAGUGUCCAUAUUAUGGAUUUUGGAAAAUUGCCUUUCAUGUAGUGAAUGAAAACAUCCUGCAGUUUUAAAUCUGAAAGUGCACUGUCUAAAAAGUUAUUGUCUCAAAAAAACCAGUCGACUUUGAAUCAUUGAAACAUGAGUCUUGUUGAUGGUAAAAUGAGACGUUAGCAUAUUGUCCGCCCACGUUUUGGUCUUUUUGCUUUGGUUUGAAUGAAAAUGCAAAUUUUUUUCUUUACCACUAGGUCCCGCUUUUGAAUUUUUAAA